GAAGUUAAAAAAAAAACAUUGAAAGCGUCUCUACCAUUCAGAGCAGCUGCAGAAUCAGGGAUUUCUCUUUAACGCUACAAUAAUGAGUGAAUCACUGGUGGUGUGUGAUGUGGACGAGGAUCUGGUGAAGAAGCUGAAGAAGUUUCGUUUCAGGAAGGAGACGAAUAACGCCGCCAUCGUUAUGAAGAUCGAUAAAGACAAGCAGCUGGUGAUUCUUGAAGAAGAGCACGAGGAUAUUUCUCCUGAUGAUUUGAGGGAGGAGGUUCCUGAGAGACAGCCGAGAUAUCCUUUCAAUAUGUGACUUAUUUGAAUAAUCAUUUUUAAUCUUAUCUUGCAG